rfam:Paenibacillus naphthalenovorans strain 32O-Y, complete genome.
GGUGACAAUAGAAUAGGCACUCAAGGGCGGUUGGCAGAUCCUCGCAGCUUACCGGCUCGCGUAAAGCGGGCUUGGAAGGAGGUGAUGCCAUGGAAGUAAAGGAUGCGGUAACCAUGAUGUUCAUGUUCGGCAUGUUCAUCCUCGCCUUGCUUUCCUACUUGAAAAAGAAGUAGACCUCCCUUGAGCCUUGGUAGCCAGGAGGUCCAGCAUUCUUGGUUUGACCUUGUGCCGAUCGCCCUUGGGGCAAUCUAUUGUACCCCGGACCGUGGAUGCUGCGAACAUCUUCG